rnacentral:rRNA from 1 species
UGCAGAAUCCCGUGAACCAUCGAGUUUUUGAACGCAAGUUGCGCCCAAAGCCUUUUGGUCGAGGGCACGUCUGCCUGGGCGUCACAC